CACAAGCGUUAUCCGGGAGUUACUGGGCGUAAAGCGCCUGCAGGCGGCCUUGGUAAGUUGGACGUGAAAGCCCCGUGCUUAACGCGGGGAGCUCGGACAAUACUGCCAAGCUAGAGUGCGUCAGAGGGGAGUGGAAUUUCCGGAGUAGCGGUAAAAUGCGCAGAUAUCGGAAGGAACACCAGUGGCGAAAGCGACUCCCUGGGGCGCGACUGACGCUAAGAGGCGAAAGCUAGGGGAGCGAACAGGAUUAGAGACCCUGGUAGUCCUAGCCCUAAACGAUGGAUGCUAGGUGUGGGACGUAAAGUUCCGUGCCGGAGCCAACGCGAUAAGCAUCCCGCCUGGGGACUACGGUCGCAAGGCUAAAACUCAAACGAAUUGACGGGGACCCGCACAAGCAGCGGAGCGUGUGGUUCAAUUCGAUGCUACACGAAGAACCUUACCUGGGUUUGACAUGUACGUGGUAGAGAAGCGAAAGCGGAUUGACCCUUCGGGGAGCGUACACAGGUGCUGCAUGGCUGUCGUCAGCUCGUGCCGUGAGGUGUCGGGUUAAGUCCCGUAACGAGCGCAACCCUUAUCCUUAGUUGCACGUAUCUAGGGAGACUGCCGGCGGGAAGCCGGAGGAAGGUGGGGAUGACGUCAAGUCAGCAUGGCCCUUAUGUCCAGGGCUACACACACGCUACAAUGGCCGGUACAAAGGGCAGCAAAGUCGCGAGGCGGAGCGAAUCCCAACAAAGCCGGUCGUAGUUCGGAUUGCAGGCUGCAACUCGCCUGCAUGAAGCUGGAGUUGCUAGUAACCGCGCGUCAGCUAUAGUGCGGUGAAUACGUACCCGGGUCUUGUACACACCGCCCGUCACGUCAUGGAAGUCGGUAACGCCUGAAGGCGGUAGCCUAGCUCGGAAGAGGGGGCGCUGUCGAAGGCGGGACUGGCAACUGGGACGAAGUCGUANCAAG
rnacentral:rRNA from 1 species